CCCUCCCUGCAUGGAAUUGACUAAAUAGCAGCAUUCAGACUAUUCGUGAGGAGUGCGCAAAAGGGAAGACACUGAUCCUUGGGGUUUCUGUGAAAUCUUCUUCAAUAUAGACAAACGGAGGUCUCUGGGGAAGCCGAUGUGAGAGGUGCUGGUGGCAGCUGCCGCCAGGUCAGUGCUAGGCUGCAAGAGCCUGUGAUGUUGAUGCAUGGACACCUUCUCAGCCUGAGGGAGGCACAUCCCGCAGAACUCCUUUUGCUAGUAUUCCACACUGUGUCUUUAGUGUAUGCUAGUCAACAGAACACAGAGCACCAAGCUAAUUUGGUUGCCAGUCCAGAAGGAUCCUGACUAAAAUUCUGCCGACUCUGGGGCAAUGAGAUGCCGCUGAGGUCAUGACAGUCUGCAUGAAUAUCUCCAUUCAAGAAUAAGGCAGCAGGCCGGGCGCAGUGGCUCACGCCUGUAAUCCCAGCACUUUCGGAGGCUGUGGUGGAUGGAUCACCCGAGGUCAGGAGUUCGAGACCAGCCUGGCCAACAUGGUGAAACCCCGUCUCUACUAAAAAUACAAAAACUAGCCAGGCAUGAUGGCGCAUGCCUGUAAUCCCAGCUACUCAGGAGGCUGAGGCAGGAGAAUCGCUUGAACUUGCGGGGCGGAGGUUGCAGUGAGCUGAGAUCAUGCCAUUGCAUUCCAGCCUGGGCGGCGCAGCAAGGCUCUGUCUCAAAAAAAAAAAAAGGAAGAAACGAAUAGGGCAGCAAGCUUGAUUUGCUUUCCUUGGUAGGACAGAUUCAGUGGAUGAUUGCGGCCCUUUCUUCAAAAUGUCGGCAGUGGAUUGGGCGUGUUCUGUGACUGUGGUGGAGACAAUGACUGUGGCCCUGGGUGGAGCCACCACCUUCCUGUAUUUGUGGGACUGUCUGAGGAGGUGGUGCCUGUGCUAAGGGAAGGUUUCCUCCUCGGAGUGGUGAGCUGUGUUCACGGACCCCGGCACCGUAAGAGCCUAUUUUUCAGCAUGGCGUUCACUACACUACCUUAAGAAUUCUUGGCUUGGCAGGAUGAGUGUUAAUAGUGGGGGAGAACUGAAAGUGGCCACUGUGGGGCUGGAACAGAUAUCACAGAAAACACCAGAGGAGUCUUGUAGAAUUUCCCAUCAGUAGAGACUCUGUCUCAUUCAACAUUGAUGGUGCGUCUUUGGCUAUUGAGCUCUGAGGUGUUUCCCUUGCAGUUUCCCUAAUACCAAUUGUUCAGUGAGAACAUUUCUACUUUAGAAAUGGGUUUUUUGAAAAGCAACUGGAGGCAGCUCCAAAGGCUUUGUAAGAACUUAGAGAAAUAUUUAGUAAUGACUAAAAAUUUCCUUUAAGUCGACUUCAUAAGCAUUUUCUCUUUGAUGUUUUGAUUUUUAAAUUAUGAAUAUACAUAGCUACUGAUAGCAUGCUACCAACUGGAAAUUCCUAUUAACUGGCAUGGUCGCAUGGAUAAAUACAAUUUAAAGUGAUGUUAAAACAAUGGCUCUGAAGUUAAGUCUACAGAGUGCUUUCUGAAUCACAAAGCAAUACAAAUAUGUUCAGCAUUUUUCAGUAUCAAAUUAAUUACACAUUUUCAGAAUAUGGCAGUUUAUAUAUAGCUAACUUUUAAUAAAGAAAUAUAUUGGAUUGUAAUAACUAUGAAUCAGUACUUACUCCCUGCCAGUUGCUGGCUACAGUGAACAGUGGGGCUUACUGCACUUCUACGCCUCUUGUGGAAUAACAAAUAUCAGUCUUCAAACAUUUAAGCAAAUGAAAAUAAAGGUCAAAUAUCCUUGUUUGCCCUUUGCAGCUGAAAGGGCAAGUUACACAAUUCUUAUGUAUUUUUCCAUCUAAUCUUCUGAGGAAAGAAAGAGAAUCUGAAUUUACGUUUUGCAAAUGGCUCACUUUUUCUUACUUUGCCAAUAGUGGAGAAUUUUCUGUUUCAAGACUCAGUGCGUUAGUAGGCUAAUGGACAUAAAGAAUUCCAACACUGCUAGUUCUCAGGGAAAGAACAGGCCAACAAAAUGGAAAAUGUACUGCAGUGGACGAAAUCGUGCUAUACAAAUGGAGUGCUGUAAAUCCCUAAACUACAGUGCACACUUGUUGGCAAGGCAGAAACAUUCACAAUUCAGAGGAUUCCAGCAGGACGUCCCGUUAAUUUGUAUUUCCCAGAACAAAUUUAUCAUUCGGAAGAACAAGUCCAAUAAACAAACGU
rnacentral:lncRNA from 1 species